AUGCUAGCAAGAUGGGCAACAUAUCUUGAGAGGUUUAACUAUCUCAUCGUGCAUAAAUCUGGAAUAACUAACAGAGUGGCCGAUGCUUUGAGUCGUCGUGCAUGCCUCUUGACUUCUUUUGAAGCUGAACUUCCGGGCAUGGGUCAAAUAAAGGAGUUGUAUGAGGGUGACGAAGACUUUGGCCAUGUUUGGGUAAAGCACGCAAGGGGCCAACCAUUAGGUGAUGACUAUUUGAUGCAAGAUGGAUAUCUCUUCAAAAAUGAUCGUUUGUGCAUUCCAAGAAGUUCUCUACGUGACAAGCUGGUUAGAGAGCUCCAUUCAAGUGAUCUUAGUGGCCAUGUUGGACGGGACAAGACUAUCGCUAACCUAGAAGCUCGCUACUUUUGGCCACAACUAAAGAGAGAUGCUGGAAAGUUCGUUCAACGGUGCCCCGUAUGUCAGACCUGCAAAGGCCAAGUCCAGAACACAAGGUUAUACAUGCCUUUGCCUGUUCCUGUUGCUCCAUGGGAGGACAUUUCUAUGGACUUCGUCUUGGGCUUGCCAAGAACAAGACGAGGAAGUGAUGCUGUAUUUGUGGUCGUGGAUAGAUUCUCUAAGAUGGCUCAUUUCAUCCCAUGCCGCAAGACAACGGAUGCUCAUCAUGUGGCAAACCUAUUCUUUCGAGAAGUGGUCAGACUUCAUGGAGUUCCAAGGUCCAUUGUCUCAGACCGUGAUAGCAAGUUUCUUGCUGCAUUUUGGCUCACUUUGUGGAAGCAAUUCAACACUGAAUUGAAAUUUUCUAGCACUGCUCAUCCACAAACAGAUGGACAAACGGAAGUGGUGAACAAGUUUUUGGGUAAUCUGAUCCGUUGCAUUUGUGGAGAAAGAAAGGGGCAAUGGGAUUUGGCUUUAUCUCUUGCAGAGUUCUCCUACAAUAACUCCAAGCAUAGAUCCACAGGAAGGAGCCCUUUUUCCAUUGUCUACACUAAAGUUCCAACACAUGUGGUGGACCUGGUGAAGCUGCCAUCAAGGGGAAACUCAAAAUCAGCAUUGUCCUUUGCUGAUAAUUACACCGAGUUAUUUGAAGAGAUUCGCGGCGCUUUGGAAGCACAAAAUCAGAAAUAUAAACAACUUGCUGAUUGCAAAAAGAGGCCAAAAUCAUUCCAAGUCGGUGAUAAGGUGAUGGUCUACCUCCGAAAAGAGAGGCUGCCUUUAGGUGUUAAAGGGAAACUUAGGCAGCGAAGGUAUGGCUCUAUCACGAGGAAGAUAAAUGAUAAUGCUUAUGUGAUAGAUCUUCCAAGUGACAUGGGUAUCUCCAACACUUUCAAUGUUGCGGACUUGACUCUCUACCAUCCAGAAGAAGCGCUCUAUGAAGAUAACUCGAGGGCGAGUUCCAAACAACCAGGGGAGAAUGAUGAGGAACACUAG
rnacentral:rRNA from 1 species